AUACUGGUUGAUUCUGCCAGAGGCUACUGCCAUCAGAGUUCGAUUAAGCCAUGUUAGUUAAGGGGACCUUCCUUCGGGGAGGUAACCCGGCAGACGGCUCAGUAACACGUGGACAACUUACCCUUGGGACCGGGAUAACCCCUGGGAAACUGGGGCUAAUACUGGAUAGAGCAUCGGCUGCUGGAAUGCGCGAUGUUCAAAAGCUGAGGCGCCCAAGGAUAGGUCUGCGGCUGAUUAGGUUGUUGUUGAUGUAACGGAUCAACAAGCCCGCGAUCGGUACGGGUUGUGAGAGCAAUAGCCCGGAGAUGGGUUCUGAGAAAAGAACCCAGGUCCUACGGGACGCAUCAGGCGCGAAAACUUUACAAUGUGCGAAAGCGCGAUAAGGGAACUCUGAGUGCCUCCUAAGGAGGCUGUUCAGGUGUCUAAAAAGCAUCUGGAGUAAGGGCUGGGCAAGACCGGUGCCAGCCGCCGCGGUAACACCGGCAGCUCAAGUGGUAGCCAUGCUUAUUGGGUCUAAAGCGUCCGUAGCCGGCUGAGUAAGUUCCUUGGGAAAUUUGACCGCUUAACGGUUAAGCUAUCAGGGAAUACUGCUUGGCUUGGGACCGGGAGAGGUCAGAGGUACUCCAGGGGUAGGGGUGAAAUCUAUUAAUCCUUGGGGGACCACCGGUAGCGAAGGCGUCUGACCAGACCGGGUCCGACGGUGAGGGACGAAGGCUGGGGUCGCGAACCGGAUUAGAUACCCGGGUAGUCCCAGCUGUAAACGAUGCGGGCCAGGUGUUGGCAUUACUGCGAGUGAUGUCAGUGCCAAAGGGAAGCCGUUAAGCCCGCCAUCUGGGGAGUACGGUCGCAAGGCUGAAACUUAAAGAAAUUGGCGGGGGAGCACCACAACGGGUGGAGCCUGCGGUUCAAUUGGAUUCAACGCCGGAAAACUCACCGGAGGCGACAGCGAGAUGAAGGUCAGGCUGAAGACCUUACCGGAUUAGCUGAGAGGUGGCGCAUGGCCGUCGGCAGUUCGUGUCGUGAAACAUCCUGUUAAGUCAGGCAACGGGCGAGACCCGCGCUCACAGUUGCCAGCAUGUUCUUCGGAACGAUGGGCACUCUGCGAGGACUGCCACCGCUAAGGUGGAGGAAGAAGCGGGCCACGGUAGGUCAGUACGCCCCGAAUCUUCCGGGCUACACGCGUGCUACAAUGGACAGUACAAUGGGUAUCAACCCCGAAAGGGGAAGGUAAUCUCCUAAAACUGCCCUCAGUUGGGAUCGAGGGCUGCAACUCGCCCUCGUGAACCAGGAAUCCGUAGUAAUCGCCUCUCAAAAUGAGGCGGUGAAUAUGUCCCUGCUCCUUGCACACACCGCCCGUCAAGCCAGCCGAGUGGGGUUCAGGUGAGGACAUCUCUUUUGUGGUGUUCGAACCAGAGUCUCGCAAGGGGGGCUAAGUCGUAACAAGGUAGCCGUAGAGGAAUCUGCGGCUGGAUCACCUCCU
rnacentral:rRNA from 1 species